rnacentral:lncRNA from 11 species
CUGCAAGCCAGAUUGCGGACAUGAUUGUCCAGUCACAAACUCUGACCAGCCUGGAUCUAGCCAUGCGCCUGGUGGAUUUCUUUGAAGAAAACAACGCCGAGGACGUCCAAACCAUACUCAAGGAACUGACUAAGGCUGCAAAUAAGCAAAAGGUGGUCAACCUCCCAAAUGUCGACGUUGCCUGGUUGCUUCUGACGGAGUAUUUGGCCCUUGCGUCUCCCCAGAUGGAGUCUUAUUCUGCUUCCGACUGGAAUGCUACUUUUCAGGAAGAACUCCGCUUCCUUGCCUUUUCAGCCAACGCAACAACACUUGCCUACUUGGUCCCUCAAAACUAUGACUCCUAUACUGCCAUGUAAGUCUUGCAAGGAUUUUUGGGGGAGUGAGAAAGCAAUGAACUGUCUAA